AUUGAACGCUGGCGGCAGGCCUAACACAUGCAAGUCGAACGGUAACAGGAAGCAGCUUGCUGCUUUGCUGACGAGUGGCGGACGGGUGAGUAAUGUCUGGGAAACUGCCCGAUGGAGGGGGAUAACUACUGGAAACGGUAGCUAAUACCGCAUAACGUCGCAAGACCAAAGAGGGGGACCUUAAGGCCUCUUGCCAUCGGAUGUGCCCAGAUGGGAUUAGCUAGUAGGUGGGGUAACGGCUCACCUAGGCGACGAUCCCUAGCUGGUCUGAGAGGAUGACCAGCCACACUGGAACUGAGACACGGUCCAGACUCCUACGGGAGGCAGCAGUGGGGAAUAUUGCACAAUGGGCGCAAGCCUGAUGCAGCCAUGCCGCGUGUAUGAAGAAGGCCUUCGGGUUGUAAAGUACUUUCAGCGGGGAGGAAGGGAGUAAAGUUAAUACCUUUGCUCAUUGACGUUACCCGCAGAAGAAGCACCGGCUAACUCCGUG
rnacentral:rRNA from 1 species